rnacentral:rRNA from 1 species
GACAGAGGGUGCAAACGUUGUUCGGAAUUACUGGGCGUAAAGCGCGUGUAGGCGGCUCGGCAAGUCGGGUGUGAAAGCCCUGGGCUUAACCUAGGAAGUGCACUCGAAACUGCCAAGCUUGAGUUCUGGAGAGGAAGGCGGAAUUCUCGGUGUAGAGGUGAAAUGCGUAGAGAUCGGGAGGAACACCCGUGGCGAAGGCGGCUCACUGGGCUGACCUUGACGCUGAGGCGCGAAGGCGUGGGGAGCGAACGGG